CUUUUACAAUGAAGAGUUUGAUCCUGGCUCAGGAUGAACGCUAGCUACAGGCUUAACACAUGCAAGUCGAG
rnacentral:rRNA from 1 species